AUGGGUCGCAAGAGGAAGAGCACAGUUGGUGGAAAGACUCCACCGUCAAAGGGCCGGCCUUGCCGCAAGUCGGUGGCGGCGCCCAGUCCAGUUGUCGUAGAGGCGCCAGAGCCGGCGGCAGCGUCCAACACAAUGGUGCCACAUCAUCAGCCAAAAGGAGGACCAGGGCUACUCAACAAAGCCCGCAGUGCAGUCGCGGUAUCUGCGCCAACGGAAAAGGUGGUAAAGCUCGACUUCGAUGUUCCGAUGAGGGUGCUAAACUGCGACGUGUGCGAUGGCCUCCUCAAGGCUCCCAUCUUCCAGUAUGGUCCUGCAGCGAAUGCCACGACGGCAAGUGCCGUCCUUGCACAGACUUGGCCGCCUCCGCCGUCGAGCUCCUACCUGGACACCCUAUUCGGCUACAUCAAGGAGGCCUGCCCAUACAAAAAGUACGGCUGCACAAGCACUCUCAUCGUAGGUGACCUGGCGGCGGCGCACAGAGCCACAUGCGAGUUCGAGCCCUGUUGGUGCACGAGGUGCUCUUUCAAGGGCUCGCCGGCGGACCUCGUGAGCCACUUCACGCUCACGCACGCCUGGUCCGCCCACAAGUUCACAGACGGCCAAGACUACAUAUACAACACCGACGAGAUGGAUUCGUCGUUUGUGUACACCGACAAGAUGGAUUCGUGGAUGGUGCGCUAUGAACUCUUUCUCGGGGAGGACGGUGGCGUGUUCCUAUUGGUCGUGGACCUUGCUCCGUUCUUCCAGGAGUUCCCUUUCCCCUUGGUGACCCUUGUGUGUGUCAGGAUUCAGGAAUAG
rnacentral:rRNA from 1 species